rnacentral:rRNA from 1 species
GACGAACGCUGGCGGCGUGCUUAACACAUGCAAGUCGAACGGAAAGGCCCUGCUUUUGUGGGGUGCUCGAGUGGCGAACGGGUGAGUAACACGUGAGUAACCUGCCCUUGACUUUGGGAUAACUUCAGGAAACUGGGGCUAAUACCGGAUAGGAGCUCCUGCUGCAUGGUGGGGGUUGGAAAGUUUCGGCGGUUGGGGAUGGACUCGCGGCUUAUCAGCUUGUUGGUGGGGUAGUGGCUUACCAAGGCUUUGACGGGUAGCCGGCCUGAGGGGGUGACCGGCCACAUUGGGACUGAGAUACGGCCCAGACUCCUACGGGAGGCAGCAGUGGGGAAUAUUGCACAAUGGGCGGAAGCCUGAUGCAGCAACGCCGCGUGCGGGAUGACGGCCUUCGGGUUGUAAACCGCUUUCGCCUGUGACGAAGCGUGAGUGACGGUAAUGGGUAAAGAAGCACCGGCUAACUACGUGCCAGCAGCCGCGGUGAUACGUAGGGUGCGAGCGUUGUCCAGAUUUAUUGGGCGUAAAGGGCUCGUAGGUGGUUGAUCGCGUCGGAAGUGUAAUCUUGGGGCUUAACCCUGAGCGUGCUUUCGAUACGGGUUGACUUGAGGAAGGUAGGGGAGAAUGGAAUUCCUGGUGGAGCGGUGGAAUGCGCAGAUAUCAGGAGGAACACCAGUGGCGAAGGCGGUUCUCUGGGCCUUUCCUGACGCUGAGGAGCGAAAGCGUGGGGAGCGAACAGGCUUAGAUACCCUGGUAGUCCACGCUGUAAACGGUGGGUACUAGGUGUGGGGUCCAUUCCACGGGUUCCGUGCCGUAGCUAACGCUUUAAGUACCCCGCCUGGGGAGUACGGCCGCAAGGCUAAAACUCAAAGGAAUUGACGGGGCCCCGCACAAGCGGCGGAGCAUGCGGAUUAAUUCGAUGCAACGCGUAGAACCUUACCUGGGUUUGACAUGGAUCGGGAGUGCUCAGAGAUGGGUGUGCCUCUUUUGGGGUCGGUUCACAGGUGGUGCAUGGCUGUCGUCAGCUCGUGUCGUGAGAUGUUGGGUUAAGUCCCGCAACGAGCGCAACCCUUGUUCACUGUUGCCAGCACGUUAUGGUGGGGACUCAGUGGAGACCGCCGGGGUCAACUCGGAGGAAGGUGGGGAUGACGUCAAGUCAUCAUGCCCCUUAUGUCCAGGGCUUCACGCAUGCUACAAUGGCUGGUACAGAGAGUGGCGAGCCUGUGAGGGUGAGCGAAUCUCGGAAAGCCGGUCUCAGUUCGGAUUGGGGUCUGCAACUCGACCUCAUGAAGUCGGAGUCGCUAGUAAUCGCAGAUCAGCAACGCUGCGGUGAAUACGUUCCCGGGGCU